rnacentral:rRNA from 1 species
UACGUAGGGUGCGAGCGUUGUCCGGAAUUAUUGGGCGUAAAGAGCUCGUAGGCGGUGUGUCGCGUCGGCCGUGAAAACCUGGGGCUCAACUGUGGGCUUGCGGUCGAUACGGGCAUCACUGGAGUUCGGCAGGGGAGACUGGAAUUCCUGGUGUAGCGGUGAAAUGCGCAGAUAUCAGGAAGAACACCCGUGGCUAAGGCGGCUCUCUAGUACGGUACUGACGCUGAGACGCGAAAGCGUGGGGAGCGAACAGG